GAGCAAUCAAGACGUGUGGCUUCACUGAGGACCACACUGCAGAGUUCAAGGAGGCCUUCCAGCUGUUUGACUGAACAGAUGAAAUGAAUGUGAAGGUGCUGAACUUUGAGCACUUUCUGCCCAUGCUGCAGAUGGUGGUGGCCAAAAACAAGGACCAGGGCAUCUAUGAGGAUUAUGUCAAAGGACUUAGGUGUUUGACAAGGAAGGAAAUGGCACGGUCAUGGGUGCUGAAAUCUGGCAUAUUCUUGUCACACUGGGUGAGAAGAUGACAGAGGAAGAAGUAGACAUGCUAGGGGCAGGGCACGAGGAUAACAUUGGUUGUAUUAACUAGGAAGAGCUCAUCUGCAUGGUGCCAAAUGGCUGAGGACCUUCCCAGUUUCCCCAGAGCCCAUGUUUUUCCCUGUGUUGGAUUUUUUAUCUGUCCUGAAGGUUCCCUAGACUCUCUUGUCAUAGCACCUUUCCCAUCUUGUCUCUCUUGGAUGAUUUUUGCCGUCGGCAUUCACCAAAUAAACUUGCUGUCUGUGCCCCC
rnacentral:lncRNA from 1 species